CCUCGCAUCCUGAAACGUGUUGAAUUCUAAUAUGUCCUAAAUGACCUAUGCAAGUAGUUGGGCAAUUACAUGGUAGAAGCUUUAGCUAAUCUUGAAAAUCUGGAGAAUUCAUCUUGUAGAAGAGUUUGUGGGUUCCCUUGCUCAAUCACAUUCCCAUGGUCAAGAACAAGGAUGUUGUCCAUAUUCAUAACAGUGGAAAUUCGAUGAGCAAUUGUGAUCACCGUCAUGCCUUUGCAUUCAGUAGAUAUUGCAUUCUGUAGU
rnacentral:misc_RNA from 1 species